rnacentral:rRNA from 1 species
UACGUAGGGACCGAGCGUUGUCCGGAAUCAUUGGGCGUAAAGAGCGUGUAGGCGGCUUGCUAAGUCUUGCGUGAAAUCUCGGGGCUCAACCCCGAGCGGUCGUGGGAAACUGGCAGGCUAGAGUGCGGGAGAGGAUGGUGGAAUUCCCAGUGUAGAGGUGAAAUUCGUAGAUAUUGGGAAGAACACCGGUGGCGAAGGCGGCCAUCUGGACCGCAACUGGACGCUGAGGCGCGAAAGCGUGGGGAGCAAACA